rnacentral:rRNA from 1 species
AUUGAACGCUGGCGGCAGGCCUAACACAUGCAAGUCGAACGAGUGGCGGACGGGUGAGUAAUGUCUGGGAAAAUGCCUGAUGGAGGGGGAUAACUAAUGGAAACGGUAGCUAAUACCGCAUACCAUCGGAUGUGCCCAGAUGGGAUUAGCUAGUAGGUGGGGUAAAGGAUCAACUAGGCGACGAUCCCUAGCUGGGCUGAGAGGUUGACCAGCCACACUGGAAAUGAGACACGGUCCAGACUCAUACGUGAGGCAGCAGUGGGGAAUAUUGCACAAUGGGCGCAAUCCUGAUGCAGCCAUGCCGCGUGGAUGAAGAAGGCCUGCGGGUUUUAAAGUACUUUCAGCGGGGAGGCGUUACCCGCAGAAGAAGCCCCGGCUAACUCCGAGCCAGCAGCCGCGGUAAUUC